rnacentral:lncRNA from 1 species
GCAAAGAGCGCAGGAGCCUCCGGGGGAUGAGAAUGUUCUAGGGGGGCUGAACUCUGGGCUAUUUGAGGGGCCCUUGAAUGAAUGGAUGCACUGCUUUCUGGGCAAACGGCCACAGCCAAAGGACAGUGUGAUUUCAAGAAAGAAGUCGGGGAACACGGGUCUCCUGCACAACCUCGAGUGGUCUGAAGUCACCGAACGCUUGGGAACACCUGGGCAGAGAAGACCGGCCACAAGGUGUUUCCAGCUGUGUUUGGGAACUGAUUGGCCAAGGACCCACACUGGAGAGCUUUGGGCAUCGUAACAGUGAACGGUAAGGGACACGGGAUCUGAACUCAUCUCUCCAAAGGGCAUCAGUGGGGGACGAGGAUGAGGUGGGUGCACUGUCAGUGCGGCUGUCCCUGGGUUUGGAAAUACGGUCGGAACCACGUUCGCAGCACUA